rnacentral:lncRNA from 1 species
GAUAUGAUCAAUAAAAGGAUAAAUUUUUUUUCAUUCAAGUGUAAUGUGUCCUUGAAUCAUCCAUAAAAUUAAUUUCGAUACAUACUCUCAAAGUGUUGAGAAUUAGAGAUUGUAUUUAAUUUCUAAAGGCUUUCGGUCAUAGGAUCAUCAUGAGGAUGGUGACAAAUCUGGAUAGACUGACGUACAAAUCACUUUUUUCGGAAU